rnacentral:rRNA from 1 species
AUACGUAGGGUGCAAGCGUUAUCCGGAAUUAUUGGGCGUAAAGGGCUCGUAGGCGGUUCGUCGCGUCCGGUGUGAAAGUCCAUCGCUUAACGGUGGAUCCGCGCCGGGUACGGGCGGGCUUGAGUGCGGUAGGGGAGACUGGAAUUCCCGGUGUAACGGUGGAAUGUGUAGAUAUCGGGAAGAACACCAAUGGCGAAGGCAGGUCUCUGGGCCGUUACUGACGCUGAGGAGCGAAAGCGUGGGGAGCGAACAGGAUUAGAUACCCUGGUAGUCCACGCCGUAAACGGUGGAUGCUGGAUGUGGGGCCCGUUCCACGGGUUCCGUGUCGGAGCUAACGCGUUAAGCAUCCCGCCUGGGGAGUACGGCCGCAAGGCUAAAACUCAAAGAAAUUGACGGGGGCCCGCACAAGCGGCGGAGCAUGCGGAUUAAUUCGAUGCAACGCGAAGAACCUUACCUGGGCUUGACAUGUUUCCGACGAUCCCAGAGAUGGGGUUUCCCUUCGGGGCGGGUUCACAGGUGGUGCAUGGUCGUCGUCAGCUCGUGUCGUGAGAUGUUGGGUUAAGUCCCGCAACGAGCGCAACCCUCGCCCCGUGUUGCCAGCGGAUUGUGCCGGGAACUCGCGGGGGACCGCCGGGGUUAACUCGGAGGAAGGUGGGGAUGACGUCAGAUCAUCAUGCCCCUUACGUCCAGGGCUUCACGCAUGCUACAAUGGCCGGUACAACGGGAUGCGACAGCGCGAGCUGGAGCGGAUCCCUGAAAACCGGUCUCAGUUCGGAUCGCAGUCUGCAACUCGACUGCGUGAAGGCGGAGUCGCUAGUAAUCGCGAAUCAGCAACGUCGCGGUGAAUGCGUUCCCGGGCCUUGUACACACCGCCCGUCAAGUCAUGAAAGUGGGCAGCACCCGAAGCCGGUGGCCUAACCCCUUGCGGGAGGGAGCCGUCUAAGGUGAGGCUCGUGAUUGGGACU